UACGGAGGAUGCAAGCGUUAUCCGGAUUCAUUGGGUUUAAAGGGUGCGUAGGCGGAUUAAUAAGUCAGUGGUGAAAUCUUGCGGCUCAACCGUAACAUUGCCAUUGAUACUGUUAGUCUUGAAUGCAGUUGAGGUAGGCGGAAUGUGUAAUGUAGCGGUGAAAUGCUUAGAUAUUACACAGAACACCGAUUGCGAAGGCAGCUUGCUAAACUGUGAUUGACGCUGAUGCACGAAAGCGUGGGGAUCAAACAGGAUUAGAUACCCUGGUAGUCCACGCUGUAAACGAUGAUUACUCGUUGUUUGCGAUAUAUUGCAAGCGACUGAGCGAAAGCAUUAAGUAAUCCACCUGGGGAGUACGUUCGCAAGAAUGAA
rnacentral:rRNA from 1 species